GAAAACACAAUGAUUGGGAGCAUUAAGGACUAUUUAUUGUAUAGAGAGCUGUCGGUUGGUGAAAGACGGUCAAUAAAUCCCCCAACUCGCCCAGGAGUGGUAAGGCCGAUAUGUAGGCCUUAACGGUCGGCCGCCGUAAUCGAGUCGUAAAGUGGAUUCGUUUUGUUUUUUAAAACGAAUCAAAAAGAGUGGUACCACGUAGGCAAAGCCUGUCGUCUCUUAU
rnacentral:ncRNA from 1 species